UAGUAACGGCGAGUGAAGAGGAAAGAGCUCAAAGUUGGAACCUGUUUGGCUUAGCUAAACCGGAUUGUAAACUGUAGAAGUGUUUUCCAGACACGCCUGGUAAAAAAGUCCUUUGGAACAGGGCAUCAUAGAGGGUGAGAAUCCCGUCAUUGGCCAGAGCUGUUGUCUUUUGUGAUACAUUUUCAAAGAGUCAGGUUGUUUGGGAAUGCAGCCUAAAUUGGGUGGUAAAUCUCACCUAAAGCUAAAUAUUUGCGAGAGACCGAUAGCGAACAAGUACCGUGAGGGAAAGAUGAAAAGAACUUUGAAAAGAGAGUUAAACAGUAUGUGAAAUUGUUAAAAGGGAACCGUUUGGAGCCAGACUGGCUUGAUCGUAAUCACUCUAGGCUUUGGCCUGGAUGCACUUGCGGUCUAUGCCGGCCAACGACAGUUUUGUUUGAGGGAAAAAAUUACAUUGAAUGUGGCCCUUCGGGGUGUUAUAGCUUUGUAAAAAAUACCUUGGACGGGACUGAGGAACGCAGCGAAUGCCUUUAGGCGAGAUUGCUGGGUGCUUGCGCUGAUACAUGCUAGAAUUUCUGCUUCGGGUGGUGCUAGUGUGUAAAGGAGUAACCCGCUUAGUAUAUUUUUUAUUCGCUUAGGUUGUUGGCUUAAUGACUCUAAAUGACCCGUCUUGAAACACGGACCAAGGAGUCCACCAUUAGUGCAAGUAUUUGGGUGACAAACCCAUAUGCGCAAGGAAACUGAUUGAUACGAAGGCGCAAGCUGGCAGUAUCACCCGGCGUUGACGUUUUAUACUGAACUGACCGAGGUAAAGCACUAAUGAUGGGACCCGAAAGAUGGUGAACUAUGCCUGAAUAGGGUGAAGCCGGAGGAAACUCCGGUGGAGGCUCGUAGCGAUUCUGACGUGCAAAUCGAUCGUCAAAUUUGGGUAUAGGGCGAAAGACU
rnacentral:rRNA from 1 species